rnacentral:lncRNA from 13 species
GUAUUAUUGUUUUAAACAGAAAUAAAUGAACACAAUUUUUAAAAAUUUUUAAGAAACUCUAGCUGACAGAAUGAAAAUAAAAUGUCUUAGAAUGGCAUCCAACACACUUUCACCUCUAGCUCUGGCCUCAGUCUCCCUCCUGCUCCACAGAAAUUGUUCCCCAUCCUUGCCUCUGAAUUCUCUCUAGGCUUCUAAGCCUUUGCAUGUGCUAUUUGUUCUUUAGGAAAAUGCUUGUUCUCACACCUCAUCUAUCUCAAAUCCUCUUGUCAUCCUUUAAUAAUCAACUCAAGUACUACAUCUUUUCUCAUUUGGAAGACUUUUCUACUUACAAAUAUUAGCAUAUACUAUCAUGCUAUGCCUGUGAUACAGGAUCACAGAUUUCUUUUUUUGGUAUUGGGUAGGAUGGACCAGGGGGUAAUAAAUAACUCCUAAAUUUCACGUGACUUGCCACAACAAAAUUUUCCUUCUUACACGUUUCAAUAUCUCACAUGAAUUGGCAGGAGGCUUUGUUGCACGUGGUCUCUCAGAAACUCAGGCUGUUGGAAGUUGCACCAUCUUGUAAUUGCACCCAGUGGCAAAGAGCAACCAAAGAACCAAACGCUGGAGUGAAAUCAUGUGAUCUCAGCUCCCUGCAACCUCAGCCCUCCAAGUUCAAGCGAUUCUCCUGCCUCAGCCUCCCAAGUAGCAGGGAUUACAGGUGCCUGCCACCCUGCUCAGCUAAUUUUUGUAUUUUUAGUAGUGAUGGGGUUUCACACUACUAAACCCCAUCAUUUAUUGCAGGCAGAGUAGCUGGGGAAUUAGUAUAACAGUGUUGGGUUGCUGGGAAUGUAAAUUAGUGCAACUACUAUGUAAAAAACUGGAAAUUUCUCAAAAACUAGGAAUAGAAUUACCAAACAAUCCUAGGAUUCCAAUUCCACUACUGGUUAUUUAUCUAAAGGAAAAUAAAUCAGUGUAUCAAAGGAAUACCUGCA